UACGUAGGGGGCAAGCGUUGUCCGGAAUUAUUGGGCGUAAAGCGCGCGCAGGCGGUCCUUUAAGUCUGAUGUGAAGGCCCCCGGCUCAACCGGGGAGGGCCAUUGGAAACUGGGGGGCUUGAGUAUAGGAGAGAAGAGUGGAAUUCCACGUGUAGCGGUGAAAUGCGUAGAUUUGUGGAGGAACACCAGUGGCGAAGGCGACUCUCUGGUCUGUAACUGACGCUGAGGCGCGAAAGCGUGGGAGCGAACAGG
rnacentral:misc_RNA from 1 species